AAAAAAACAAAUCUUGAGUUUCCGUGUGCAACAUUUCACUAUCCGUCUUAUAUAAUCUUUUUUUAUAAUUAGUAUUUUUAUUAUUAUUUGAUGAUAGUAAAACAUAACUAAUAUUUUAUAUUUGAUUUGUCUUUUUAAUUUUUUUCAUAAUUUUAUUAAAUAAGGCGGAUAGUUAAACGUUGAACUAAAAAAGGGUUUGCCUUUUU
rnacentral:pre_miRNA from 1 species